GACGAACGCUGGCGGCGUGCUUAACACAUGCAAGUCGAACGGAAAGGCCUGCUUUCCCUUGUGGAUUGCGGGUACUCGAGUGGCGAACGGGUGAGUAACACGUGAGUGAUCUGCCCCCAACUUGGGUAUAAGCCUGGGAAACUGGGUCUAAUUCCCGAUAGGACUGCAGGGUGGUGCCUGUGGUGGAAAACGAUUUUCUAGUGGUUGGGGAUGAGCUCGCGGCCUAUCAGCUUGUUGGUGGGGUAAUGGCCUACCAAGGCGGCGACGGGUAGCCGGACUGAGAGGGUGGACGGCCACAUUGGGACUGAGAUACGGCCCAGACUACUACGGGAGGCAGCAGUGGGGAAUAUUGCACAAUGGGCGGAAGCCUGAUGCAGCGACGCCGCGUGGGGGAUGACGGCCUUCGGGUUGUAAACUCCUUUCGACCGCGAGGAAGCCACCUGGUUGGAAGGGUGGUGACGGUAGUGGUAGAAGAAGCACCGGCUAACUACGUG
rnacentral:rRNA from 1 species